GCGGGGCGGCUACACAUGCAGUCGAGCGGUAGCACAGGAGAGCUUGCUCUCCGGGUGACGAGCGGCGGACGGGUGAGUAAUGUCUGGGAAACUGCCUGAUGGAGGGGGAUAACUACUGGAAACGGUAGCUAAUACCGCAUAACGUCUUCGGACCAAAGUGGGGGACCUUCGGGCCUCAUGCCAUCAGAUGUGCCCAGAUGGGAUUAGCUAGUAGGUGGGGUAAUGGCUCACCUAGGCGACGAUCCCUAGCUGGUCUGAGAGGAUGACCAGCCACACUGGAACUGAGACACGGUCCAGACUCCUACGGGAGGCAGCAGUGGGGAAUAUUGCACAAUGGGCGCAAGCCUGAUGCAGCCAUGCCGCGUGUGUGAAGAAGGCCUUCGGGUUGUAAAGCACUUUCAGCGAGGAGGAAGGGUUCAGUGUUAAUAGCACUGUGCAUUGACGUUACUCGCAGAAGAAGCACCGGCUAACUCCGUGCCAGCAGCCGCGGUAAUACGGAGGGUGCAAGCGUUAAUCGGAAUUACUGGGCGUAAAGCGCACGCAGGCGGUUUGUUAAGUCAGAUGUGAAAUCCCCGCGCUUAACGUGGGAACUGCAUUUGAAACUGGCAAGCUAGAGUCUUGUAGAGGGGGGUAGAAUUCCAGGUGUAGCGGUGAAAUGCGUAGAGAUCUGGAGGAAUACCGGUGGCGAAGGCGGCCCCCUGGACAAAGACUGACGCUCAGGUGCGAAAGCGUGGAGAGCAAACAGGAUUAGAUACCCUGGUAGUCCACGCUGUAAACGAUGUCGACUUGGAGGUUGUGCCCUUGAGGCGUGGCUUCCGGAGCUAACGCGUUAAGUCGACCGCCUGGAGAGUACGGCCGCAAGGUUAAAACUCAUAUGAAUUGACGGGGGCCCGCACAAGCGGUGGAGCAUGUGGUUUAAUUCGAUGCAACGCGAAGAACCUUACCUACUCUUGACAUCCAGAGAAUUCGCUAGAGAUAGCUUAGUGCCUUCGGGAACUCUGAGACAGUGCUGCAUGGCUGUCGUCAGCUCGUGUUGUGAAAUGUUGGUUAAGUCCCGCAAGAGCGCAACCUUAUCUUUGUUGCCACCCGAAUGGCGGAACUCAAAGAGACUGCCGGUGAUAACCGGAGAAGGUGGGAAGACUCAAUCAUCUGGCCCUUACAAUAGGGCACCCCCUGCUACAUGGCUUACAAAGAAAACAACUCCGAGACAAGG
rnacentral:rRNA from 1 species